rnacentral:lncRNA from 1 species
CGAUUUUUUGCCUAACUCAUUCAAGUUCAAUCCUCUAUAAAUAGGUCUCUCCUUAAUCGUUCGUUCUACUACACACUAUUUAUUCCUCACGCUUGUUACACCUUCAACUACUUUCUCUUCAAGAAUUUGAUAGCUUUUUCCUGUCUCUGGUAAGUUUUUUUCAUGAUUUUUGUGUAAAUAUACCUUGUAUUACAUUACAUCACAUUUGAAUUCUUUCUUUUCUUUACUUUUGUGUUUACAUGUGUGUUUUGUGAACUUAUGCAUUUUUUAGAUAUAGCUGAUCCUGUGUGGGAUAUCGCUAUUUUACGAGACGCCAUGAGGGAACUGCAGAAGGAGGUUCAUGACCUGCAUUGGGAGUUAGCCGCCGUCAGAGUAAGGAUACUGCGGGAGAUCCGCAGGCUGUGGAGGGCGUUCCUGCUGCCCUUUGAAGAUUGUCCGACUG